CCUACGGGGGGCAGCAGUGGGGAAUAUUGCGCAAUGGGCGAAAGCCUGACGCAGCGACGCCGCGUGAGGGAUGAAGGUCUUCGGAUCGUAAACCUCUGUCAGCAGGGAAGAACGGUCACUGUGCUAAUCAGCAGUGAAUUGACGGUACCUGCAAAGGAAGCACCGGCUAACUCCGUGCCAGCAGCCGCGGUAAUACGGAGGGUGCGAGCGUUAAUCGGAAUUACUGGGCGUAAAGCGCUCGUAGGCGGUAUGUCAAGUCAAGGGUGAAAUCCCCGCGCUCAACGUGGGAACUGCCUUUGAAACUGGCAAACUGGAGUGUGUGAGAGGAUAGUGGAAUUGCAGGUGUAGGAGUGAAAGCCGUAGAUAUCUGGAGGAACAUCAGUGGCGAAGGCGACUAUCUGGCACAUAACUGACGCUGAGGAGUGAAAGCGUGGGUAGCAAACAGGAUUAGAUACCCCUGUAGUC
rnacentral:rRNA from 1 species